rnacentral:lncRNA from 1 species
UGCACAUGCCAUGUGAUAAGCUUUUGGAUCUAACAUCGAAUGACCAAUUCAGUAACUUCUAACUUGCACUUAUAUACAAUUAUAUCUUGAAUCAUUGCAUGUUUCGUGUUCUUCAAUGAUUGAAGGUUGAUAAAGUUUAGAUGCGAAGGCUGUCUAUCCUUCUGGAGGCAUUAGAACCCCACCAUCCCCAAGCACUAGGCUCACGCUUAACAGUCCCCCG